AUUGAACGCUGGCGGAAUGCUUUACACAUGCAAGUCGAGCGGCAGCGCGGGGCAACCUGGCGGCAAGCGGCGAACGGGUGAGUAAUACAUCGGAACGUGCCCAGACGUGGGGGAUAACUACUCGAAAGAGUGGCUAAUACCGCAUACGAUCUACGGAUGAAAGCGGGGGAUCGCAAGACCUCGCGCGUCUGGAGCGGCUGAUGGCAGAUUAGGUAGUUGGUGGGGUAAAGGCUUACCAAGCCUGCGAUCUGUAGCUGGUCUGAGAGGACGACCAGCCACACUGGGACUGAGACACGGCCCAGACUCCUACGGGAGGCAGCAGUGGGGAAUUUUGGACAAUGGGCGAAAGCCUGAUCCAGCCAUUCCGCGUGCAGGAUGAAGGCCCUCGGGUUGUAAACUGCUUUGUACGGAACGAAAAAGACUCCGGCUAAUACCUGGAGUCCAUGACGGUACCGUAAGAAUAAGCACCGGCUAACUACGUGCCAGCAGCCGCGGUAAU
rnacentral:rRNA from 1 species